AGUGAACGCUGGCGGUAGGCCUAACACAUGCAAGUCGAACGGCAGCACAGUAAGAGCUUGCUCUUACGGGUGGCGAGUGGCGGACGGGUGAGGAAUACAUCGGAAUCUACUUUUUCGUGGGGGAUAACGUAGGGAAACUUACGCUAAUACCGCAUACGACCUACGGGUGAAAGCAGGGGAUCUUCGGACCUUGCGCGAUUGAAUGAGCCGAUGUCGGAUUAGCUAGUUGGCGGGGUAAAGGCCCACCAAGGCGACGAUCCGUAGCUGGUCUGAGAGGAUGAUCAGCCACACUGGAACUGAGACACGGUCCAGACUCCUACGGGAGGCAGCAGUGGGGAAUAUUGGACAAUGGGCGCAAGCCUGAUCCAGCCAUACCGCGUGGGUGAAGAAGGCCUUCGGGUUGUAAAGCCCUUUUGUUGGGAAAGAAAAGCAGCAGGUUAAUACCCCGCUGUUCUGACGGUACCCAAAGAAUAAGCACCGGCUGACUUCGUG
rnacentral:rRNA from 1 species